rnacentral:rRNA from 1 species
CCUACGGGAGGCAGCAGUGGGGGAUAUUCGACAAUGGUGGGAACCCUGAUCCAGCGACGCCGCGUGAGUGAUGAAGUAUUUCGGUAUGUAAAGCUCUGUCAGCAGGGAAGAAAGUAAUCACUGUACCUUACUAAGAAACUGCGGCUAACUCAGGGCCAGCAGCCGGGGUAAUACGGAGGAUUCAAGGGUGAUCUGGAUUUGUUGGGUUUAUUGGGCGGGUUGGGGGUUGGUUAAGUUUUAGUGGAAAUUCCCUGGCUCAACUUCGGAAUUGCCUCUGAUACUGUUCGGCUAGAGAGUAGUUGCGGUAGGCGGAAUGUAAGGUGUAGCGGUGAAAUGCUUAGAGAUAAUGCAGAACACC